rnacentral:lncRNA from 1 species
AUUUCAAAUUAGACCAGCUAUUCAGGAGCUCAGGAGCUGCAAAGAGAUAUGGCUCUAGGUGAACUUACCACCAGGAAUGCACCGAUGGGACUUGGGGAGAUCGUUGCUCCUUCUCCAAGGCUUCCUUAAAUUCACCUUGCUCAAGGAAGGACUGUAGCUCAGUGCUGUCCCUGGGAUGCAAGAGGACCCAGGUAUAAUCCCUCGCAUCUCCAGGUAGGGCUGGAAAUUUCUCCUACUGUAUCUGAGAGACUGUUUAUCUGUUGUGCUCUUGCAGUUUCAACAGGAGCUAGUACUGGGUUGACUGUGGGAACAUAGCUCAUGCCUUGCGUGCAGCUGCUCCCAGGUUCAAUCCCUGGCAUCUCCAACUAGGACUGGCCCUGGUCUGAAAUCCUGGAGAGCUGCUGCCGCUCACUGUAAGGUAGUACAGUGGUACCUUGGUUCUCAAAUUCAAUCCGUUCCGGAAGUCCAUUCCAAAACCAAGGCUCGCUUUCCCAUAGAAACUAAUGCAAAAUGGGUUAAUCCAUUCCAGACUUUUAAAAACAGCCCCUAUAACAGCAAUUUAACAUGAAUUUUGCUAUCUAACGAGACCACUGAUCCAUAAAAUGAAAGCAAUAAACAAUGUGCUGCAGUCACACGACCAAUCCAUCAGUAGCUGAACACAGUCACAAAAACAAAACAAAAAAGUUGCAAAAACAAAACUGCAAAAUAGAUGGCAAAAACAGACAGACCUCAGCGUAACACUCAAAAUGGAAGUGUGGUACUCAAAUCAGAAGCGUAACACUCAAAACGAAGCAUGUUCAGCUUCUGGAAAAAGUUCGCAACACCUGGAACACUUACUUCCGGGUUUGCAGCUCUAUAGUAAGUCUCACCUAGACCACUUCCCAUUCCUACACUUCUAUGAUCAUUAGCCUUAAAAGAAUGUGGGUCAAAGCAUCAUUGCAUCCCUUCUAGCACCGUAGCCUUUCUUUCCCCCAAAGCCAUGAGAGCUAGGAGCAUGAUCAUUUUAAAUCUGAGACAUAAGCAAGUAUUUGGUGUGGCAAAGUUUGUAGUGCAUAUAUACUUGCAACAUGGUCUUUGAGCUAUAGCUCCUACCCAAACAAUAACUUAUUGCAAGGAUAUUUGCUCCACAAAUAUUUGCUGCACCAAAUACUCUGCAAAGGUCCCUAAUUCAAUCCCUGCCAUAUCCUGGUAAGCCUGGGAAACUCUCCUGCCUGAAACACUGGGGAGCUGUUUUCACUAAGUGUGGCCAGUAUUAGACCAAUGAUCUAGUUUGGUGUCAUCAGCUUCCUCCCUGCCUACGGCAGCCGAGUGCUCCUGUCUAGCUUGGAGGCUUCCCAUAGGCAUCUGGUUGGCUGAAUUUUUGAGCCAUUGGCCUGUUCCAUCAAGCUCAUCUUAUGUUCUUACCAAGUGUGGAUGGGGCCACUGAUGCAAUUCUUCCUGUGAACUAAAGAAACUACUACCUGGUAGCUCCAGUCUAUGGGGUGUUGCCCUUCUUGCAGUAGUCUUGCUGGCUAGUUAUAGUAGCAACAAUGGCUGGUGCCUAUUGGGACCGGUAGGGCAGAAGGCAGGGAGACCAAGGGGCAGAUGGAGGGAGUGCCAACAGCAGGCAGUGCCAACAUAUUCUGGUUUUGUCCCCAUCCGUAUCCUUGCUGACAUCUACAAGGCAAUUGCACUGUAAUCUACAUAUUAAUCCAACAAGUGAAGAUCGGUUUGCUUAAAAAUGAGAAACAAAUUAAUUCCAUUAACAGCUGUAGUCUGUUCCCUGAGCUCCAUAGAAACCACUUCUUUGAGUGCCGCCCUUGCCAGAAUUAAAGUGGGUGGCAAUUAGAGAGAGGUUUCGGAUUCCAGCAUCAUUAGACGUCAAGAAUUCAUGCUUCUGAGCAGGGUAAUGUGAAUACCAUAGCCAUCUCUACUGGGGAAGUUUCAGCUCUUCAGCCAGUGGUGAGUGGUAGCUAUUGAGGCUGGUGGGGUAGAAAGCAGGGAGGGCAACAGCAGGUGGCGCCAGAGGCAAUGACAGGUAGAACCAACUCAUUCUAGUUUCUUCCUCCCUGCUGAAUUCCACUGAGACUUGAAGAGGAAGAGGAGACUCACAGGAAGUUUCACCCCUUGGACUGGUUGCAAAUAAGAAAGCUGGCAAGAUGGACGCUGGCUGGGGGCUGGUGGGCGCCGACUGAGGCUGGUGGGGCAGAACCCUACUUGACCUCAUGAACCAGCCUCCACUGUCUUCAGCUCCUCCUCUAUGUCAAACAUGGAAUCCCAAAAUUCUCUGUGCUGUUCGUCAGCAGUAAAAUAGGGGCGGGGAUAGAGAAUUCCAUUGAAAGUUAACUUGGUGGGGAGGUAGAAUUCUCCAACCGUUGGGGCAAAGUCAAGGGGGAAACGAAAUUCUCAGAUAAUCCCUUGCAACAUUAUCUUCUGAGAGCUUACCCUAAUUGCACCACCUCUGAAACAAUCACAAUGCACUUUUUUCCAUGCGAAAAUGUCUAUUUAGUCUAAUAAACCGCUCUGGCUAAAGGACAGCUAGCGACGCCACUGCCGACAUAGCACCAGAAUCAAUAAAUACACUGUAUUUGUGCUGCUAUGCAAAACACAUCUCCCCGUAAACAUAUUUUGCAAGGGAGGUGAACUGAUGGGGAAAGCCGCAAGAUGGAAAGCAGACUUCCAACUUGUGGUACUUGUACUUAUGAAGUCAACUUUUCAUUCUCAUUGUGCAAAAUUCUAUUUGGGCAGAAAGCCCUAAGGAGUUGUGACUGGUGGGUCUCAGUCAUUUUCAGCCUUCUCAAGUGGACACAGUGGAGGGUAGAAAGUUUUGAGAACCCCAUCUAUUAAGUGAUGCUGUUGUUUAGUUGAUGUUCAACUUAUCUCCAUCCCUUUCCUGCUUUUGGGAUUACAAGGGAGAGGAAAUAUCUAUGUCCAGGAAAAAGUUGACAAUCAAAGUUUACUUCCCUGCCAUUAGUAAGGCAGUGUAUUCUAUUCAAACACAGCACAUCACCCACCUGUGAUACAGUGAAGCAGACAGAAAGACGUGUUCAUUAUUCUUCCUUUGCAAGUUGGGUAUUAUACAAAACAAUCCCCUCGAUGGAGAUAAAGCAGAUUCGAGUGUUGAUCUUACUAACCUUCCAAGUCAGUUGAGCGGCCUAACCUAUUAUCAUCUCAGCAUGAAUUCAGCGGCAAAGACAUCACUUGGCAUCAAGCAGAAACAAGAUGUGAACCCGACCAGGAAUUCCAUAUGAGGAGCCUUGCUUUCAUUUUCUUGCAUUAAGGCACAAGGCAGCUGCACUUCUGCAAGGAAAAUGGGAAGAAGGGGCUUAUUGGGGGUUGCCUUUCAGAUAUUUUCCACAUUGUUUGGGUUUGCUCAUGCAUAUUAUGUAUUAAUAGUUGUCGCACACAACACGGGGAGCAAAUUACUGUUACUGAGGAGGAGCUGCCAUCUGUACCCAGAUUAUGCUGGAGAGAAGGAUGGUCUUAUGGGAAGGAUACUCAGUGGGCCAGAUUGCUCAUUGGAGCUUAAGAUUUCAAACGUGCAAAGAGCAGGGAGGGCAGUAGCAAGUGGCCAGUCUGUUUGAUGUGCAGAUAUGUACCACGACCCUUGAUUCUAGCUUAGAAAAAGCAUUAAGGGGCGUUCAAGAUAACCCAUCCCACUGAAAGAAUGCAAACUGUCAAAACUAUGCAUAGCAUGGAGGUAGCAGAUAGAGAGAGGCUUUUCUCCCUCUUUCAUAACUCAGAGACAUCCAAUGAAGGAUUCAGGACAGACCCCCCAAAAAAGCACAUCUUCAGUUUAUAGUUAAACUGUGGAACUUACUUUUUUGCAUUACAAGCAGAUUGGUAGUGGGCCCUGCGUGUACAUAGUUUUUAUUAUUAAUUAUGAUGAUGAUGAUGAUGAUGAUGAUGAUGAUGAUGUUGUUGUUGUGCAUUUUGUGUUUUUAUAUUGUAAACCAUCAUGUGAUCUUUGAUUGAAGAAUGGUAUCUAAAUUUAAUAAACAAGAAGAAGUAGUGCUGGGCAGGGAGGAAAUGGCUGCUACUGCAGUCACUACCUGCUAGGUGAGUUGGAAGAACCUAUGUAAGACCCCCGUUGUCAAAAGUGGGGACCUUUUUCAUUGCUUGCAAACAGGACUGUGAAAUUGGCAUGGGUAUUCCUACAUUUGCUCAGCCAUAUUGAAAAGGAACAACUUCUUGCCUUAGCUCUUUGAAAUCUGCUGCUGAAUGGUUGAUAUCCCCGCCUCCCCUUGCUCAUGUGUGUGCAGAUAUCAGUGGCAUAGCGUGGGUUGCCAGUGCCCGGGGCCUCACAGGUUGAGUAGGAGGGAGACAGGCAGAGUACUCAUAUGCAUUGAACUGCCUAACAGUGUCCACAUCACCCAGGAUAUCACAUCCACAAAGAUAAGAAAAGAAGAGUUUCGUUGUCUGGAGAGGUCACUUCCUGGUUCACACAGAGAAGCUGUUUUCAAUGGAACCCAGUGAUGGAAGUGCACAGCUGUACUGAGGAAGCACCAGGUGCUGAAAUGUUGUGCUCCUAACAAUUUUGUACCUAGCGCAACCACCCCUGUGCCCCCCACCAUGCUAUGCCACUGGUAGAUAUAGGUAAAAUCUCCAGUGGAACAAGAAAUUCUAAGGUUCUAUUUCACCCUCUCUUAUAACAUUGAAGUAGAGGCUUAAAUCCAUUAAAAAAUUCCCAACUGAAAGGGCACUAAAGUGUGUGUGUGUGUGUGUGUGUGUGUGUGUGUGUGUGUAUUCUGACCUGUUAAUAAAAGACUAAAAGGUGCACAUUAAUAUAAAUAUUUAUAUUCUGCUGUGCCAUAUUAGCACUUACGGAUAAUCUAUCUCCCCUGCUAAUGGUUCUGAGUAAAAUGUGCAGUCAGUGCGGCUGACAUUUUGAGGAGUUAUUGCUGUAUUGCUUCAUCUUAGUCAUCCCCACAGCCCCUUUCUUAGUGAUUGAUAUGAGAGAGAGCGUACUGACUAAAAUAUCUAUAUUUCUUUCCCCAUAUGUGCUUCUAUAGCCUGGUGAAAGCUUUGGCUUAGCUACGAACUUUGCAGCCCAUUAAAAUCAGCAGGAGAAGACCUGGCAGGCAGGAGACAAUGACAUUCCAACUCACAAUGGAGCUGAGGUGAAAUUCAGGAGCCACGAAACUGUUAGAGCUCAGGGGGCAUUAUUGUGUGGGGAGGUGUUGUGCUGCUAUGUGUGCACUCUGUCUGGGGCUGUGUGGGAAGGAAACGGUCAACUGCCAGGAGGGAUGUUGCAGAAUUCUGACAAAAACAGAAAUGGGAGCAAGGAUGGCUAGUGUUUGCUUACAUUUGGAAUGGAAAGCAAUCUGGGAAACACAUCCACAAAGAUAUGCAGCUGGUUAUACAAUGAACGCUUGGGUUGCAAACGUGAUCCGUGUGGGAUGCACGUUCACAACCCGCAGCAGAAUGUCUGUGCUCGAGCGGGUUGCAAUUCAGUGCUUCUGCGCAUGCAUGACCCCCGAAACCCAGAAGUAACCCGUUCCGGUACUUCCAGGUUUCGGUGGGUCUGUAACCCAAAAAAACACAACCUGAAGCAUCUGUAACCCGAGAUAUGACUGUAUCCCCAUCCCAUUUGCACUGUGUUUCCUUUGUGCUGAAAUGAAUGGGGUGGAAUAAUGUAAUGACAACAUAAUUUAGGGAAUUUAGGGAAUGAAAAGUUAAGUGAUUUCUCCACAGCAGGCAGAAAACAACUUUGUUCUUGGUGGAAGAAGAAAUGCAGCAGAAAGGAGACAGUGCGGAAUGCAACAAAUACAGGGUGGGAUAGAAAAUAGUGCCUUCUUAUAUCCCUAGAUGCCAAUAAGGAUGGAAGGGUCAAUCUAUGUCUAGUCUGUGUCACUUUCAGAUAUGUUCAUUCAUAUGUCCACUCCCUUUCUUUCUGCACUAAAUCUACACUUGUAUACACACACACACACACAUAUAUAC